AAUGAACGUUGGCGGCGUGGAUUAGGCAUGCAAGUCGUACGCUCCGCAAGGGGCGUGGCGUAAGGGUGAGUAAGGCGACGGUAACCAACCUCGAGGCCGGGGAUAGCCGCGGGAAACUGCGGGUAAUAUCCGGCGUGGUCCCUGGGGGGCAUCCUUUGGGGAUUAAAGGUGCGAUUCCGCCUCGAGACGGGCCGUCGUGGUAUCAGGUAGUUGGCGGGGUAAUGGCCCACCAAGCCUUUGACGCCUACCGGGCGUGCGAGCGUGGCCCGGCACACUGGGACUGAGACACUGCCCAGACAUCUACGGGUGGCUGCAGUCGAGAAUCUUCGGCAAUGGGCGCAAGCCUGACCGAGCGACGCCGCGUGGAGGAUGAAGGCCUUC
rnacentral:rRNA from 1 species